UACGUAGGGUGCAAGCGUUAAUCGGAACUACUGGGCGUAAAGCGUGCGCAGGCGGUCUUGCAAGACAGAUGUGAAAUCCCCGGGCUUAACCUGGGAACUGCAUUUGUGACUGCAAGGCUGGAGUGCGGCAGAGGGGGAUGGAAUUCCGCGUGUAGCAGUGAAAUGCGUAGAUAUGCGGAGGAACACCGAUGGCGAGAGCAAUCCCCUGGGCCUGCACUGACGCUCAUGCACGAAAGCGUGGGGAGCAAAC
rnacentral:rRNA from 1 species